rnacentral:rRNA from 1 species
CGGACGGGUGAGUAACACGUGGAUAACCUACCUAUAAGACUGGGAUAACUUCGGGAAACCGGAGCUAAUACCGGAUAAUAUAUUGAACCGCAUGGUUCAAUAGUGAAAGACGGUUUUGCUGUCACUUAUAGAUGGAUCCGCGCCGCAUUAGCUAGUUGGUAAGGUAACGGCUCACCAAGGCAACGAUGCGUAGCCGACCUGAGAGGGUGAUCGGCCACACUGGAACUGAGACACGGUCCAGACUCCUACGGGAGGCAGCAGCC